UUGACGGGACCGCACAAGCGGUGGAUGAUGUGGUUUAAUUCGAUGCAACGCGAAAACCUUACCCACCUUGACAUGGCAGGAAUCCUGAAGAGACUUGGGAGUGCUCGAAAGAGAACCUGCACACAGGUGCUGCAUGGCUGUCGUCAGCUCGUGUCGUGAGAUGUUGGGUUAAGUCCCGCAACGAGCGCAACCCUUGCCAUUAGUUGCUACGAAAGGGCACUCUAAUGGGACUGCCGGUGACAAACCGGAGGAAGGUGGGGAUGACGUCAAGUCCUCAUGGCCCUUAUAGGUGGGGCUACACACGUCAUACAAUGGCCGGUACAGAGGGUAGCCAACCCGCGAGGGGGAGCCAAUCCCACAAAGCCAGUCGUAGUCCGGAUCGCAGUCUGCAACUCGACUGCGUGAAGUCGGAAUCGCUAGUAAUCGUGGAUCAGCAUGUCACGGUGAAUACGUUCCCGGGUCUU
rnacentral:rRNA from 1 species